rnacentral:pre_miRNA from 1 species
AUGUAGGGCAAUCUGUCUUUAAGUAGGGGUAAAUUACUCUGAAAAAAUGAAUCUUACAUAGUUUUCCUUUCGAGUCAAGCGUCUUGU